GUGCAUGUCAAACAACAUGUUGCAUUCAAUUAAAAUCAUGUGUUGCCAUCUGAACCGCCUGAAAGUGAGAUAUGGAUCACAAUGAAUAAUGACAGCUUAUCAAUCUUUAACAAAUUCACACUGAAACAUUGAAAGGAUAAAGACAAGUUAGUUGUUUUCUGUUUCAGCAUGUUCAGGGUUUGUGGGGAGGUUCACAGACAUCCUCAGGGAGGAUACCAAGUAUUGAAAUGUCCGGAUGAAUAAAAGAGACAGUCAUCUGUGCAGCAUCAAUGCAAAGAAAGACCAUAGAAGAGCAACAAAACUGAAGUCCUGCUUGAGAUCCCUGGAUGAGUACUCCAGGUUGACAGUCUGGAAUGACGAGACAAGGGAGUCCUAAACAGAGGCUGCACCCCUUCAGAUAUCCGAGGUGAUUUGCAGACAGCGAUGACGAGGGUCCUGUUAUUUCAAUGGAGGCCGACCGAGAAGUUGUAUGCCAAAUGGUACUGGGACACACAAAGGCUGGUCUGGCUAAUGUGAGAAGACCAACCAAUGCCAAGCUGGAGUGGAAUUCUUCCAGGACAUUCAGGAAAUUCUUGUCUUGAGCCAUAUGGUAAACACUUGAAAGAAAUGAUAAAUGGGACUUAUUGUUUUUAAAUGUGGACCCAAACACCAAAUGGAAAGUUCACAAUUCUACUAACACAAUGCAGCAGAGAUAGAGUCUAACUGGUAUCCCCUCAUCCUGGUUCCUGUUCAUCCAUGGCAAUAUAGAAAGAAAAGGAGGAUUGUCAAGCGAACAGUUAUCACA
rnacentral:lncRNA from 1 species